UUACGGCCAUAUCCCGUUGAAACACCCUUCCCCGUAUGAUCACCGAAGUUAAGCAACGUCAAACCGAGUCAGUACCUUGAUGGGUGACAGCUUCUGAAUACCAGGUGCUGUAUG